GACGAACGCUGGCGUCGUGCCUAAUACAUGCAAGUAGAACGCAGUUGCGAACGGGUGAGUACCGCGUAGGUAACCUUUCUCAUAGAGGGGGGUAACUAAUGGAUACGCUAGCUAUUACCGCAUACUGUAAGCUGGCCCUGCAUUGUAUUAGCUCGUAGGUGAGGUAAAUGCUCACCAAGGCGACGAUACAUAGCCGACCUGAGAGGGUGAGCGGCCACACUGGGACGGAGACACGGCACAGACUCCUACGGGAGGCAGCAGUAGGGAAUCUUCGGCAAUGGACGGAAGUCUGACCGAGCAACGGCGCGUGAGUGAAGAAGGUUAUCGGAACGAAAAGCUCUGGUGUUAGGGAUGCGGUAACGAACCAGAAAGGGACGGCUAACUACGUGCCAGCAGCCGCGGUAAUUC
rnacentral:rRNA from 1 species